rnacentral:lncRNA from 1 species
AUUUAAUCCUGUAACUUACAUGAAAUUCAUUGUCCACCUUCUCUCAAAAGAUUUUUAAGGGUAACUAGAAUCUUAAAUUUCCAUGGUUACAUCUCACUACAUUCCUUUUACCUCUGAAUUUUCAGUAUAUAUUUUUGUGUUGAAUCCUAUGGAUCCUAGCCACUUUCCUUUUUUUUUUUUUUUUUUGUCUCUUUACUUAUGGAAUUUGUUAUUUCUCCUUCAUUUUCUAAAGGUUUUUUCAAGGCUUUAACAGAAGUUUGGGUAUAAUUAUUAAGAAUCACUAUAGUAUAAGCACAGUCUAGAAACCAAUUAAAUUUUCUCUGUGUUACAUAUCAAUUUGGUAAGGACUAUGUAAUUCCUGCCAUGAGGUGGAAAUACUGGAUUCUUCUCUUGGCCCUAAGUUUCGUUUAUUGACCUGUUGUUGGUCCAUCUCUCUAGAACUCUCGGCUGAGCUUCAGGCCUUACAUUCAGUAUGUAUUCUAUCUCAUUGUUGGCAUUUCAAAUGUAUCUCAACUUCAUAUAUCUAGACUGAAUUCAUCAUCUUUCUUUCCAAAACAGGCCUUCUCUCAGUAUUUCUUAUCUAAGUAACUUUGGUAAUUUUGCCAUUUGUUUAUUGCUUAAAAAUCAGUAACCCAGUCCAGUCUUAGAACAAUGUUAUCUUCAAUGCAGCCCAAAAUAAACAGAAAUUAAAAUAUUUUAAUCUUUAAGCUCUUUCAAAUAUAUCAGGUGCUACAAGUACAUUGUUAAAUAAAAUAGAUAUUUAAUCACUGGAGUGCAUUGGCGCGAUCUCACCUCACUGCAAGCUCUGCCUCCCAGGUUCAAGCCAUUCUCCUGCCUCAGCCUCGUCACCCAACCACUAGACUUCAGAAUCUCCCAGAAGGUUCUUUUUUCUUCCACAAAUACAUUUUCUUUCAACCAAGGUGUCCUAUUCUGACAUUGUCUCAUUUUACCCGUAUUGUGCUUAUUUCCUGCUCUACAUGCCUUGUCCUCCAGGAGGCUCCAGCUAGUCACUAUGCAACACUCUUGCUCCAUUGUGAUGAGGGAGCGUUUUUCUUCUUCUAAUGCCCGUUGUCAUUUUGUUGCAGUAUCUGACUUCAGCGAUUUGUCUUCUUGUCUCAAUAAGUGUAAGAAGUGGGUAGAGGAUGGAAAGGGAGAAGAAAGGAUUAAAGUUAAGCCUGAAUGUUUCAUUCUCCACCUUAACAUGACCGCAUCUACUAAUAGCCAAUAAAAUGAAUUGGCCUCUCUACUGGGCUGCUUGACCUUCCUCAUGACAUGGCAGUUGGUUUUUCCCAGAGCAGAUAAGAACAACCAUGAUUCAAUAUGUGAGUAGGCUAUACAGGAGACAGGAACCAUUGGGAGCCAUUUUGAACACUCUCUACUACAGGAUCAAAAGCAAAUAAUUACAAAACAGUACAUCAAUGCAACAAUGGCAUUAUAUGUAAGCAUUAAUAUAGAAUUUUGGAGGGAAAUCACGAGAAAACUGAAGACAUCUGUCCACCAAGAAAAGCACAAAAGCUAUAAACUGAAGAUAGAUAUAUUUUCAACUAACUGCAGUCUUCAAGUAAGCAGCUGUUAUUUUAAAAAGCAGAAGUAGAGAUACAGAGCACUACGAUCUCAAAUAGAAUUGAGAUUUAAAAUUAUGCAUAAGGAAUUAACAUACUUUAAUCCUAAAGAAAGAGAAAAAAUAUAUUAAAGGUCAUCGUGACUAGAACCUUUAAUUGGCAAAAAGCUUGUAUUCACACAUCUUAUCAGAUGAUUUCCAUUUGUGAGCCAUUCUUGAUUCUAAUUCUCAUUUCAUUAUAACAAAGUUAUAACAAAAAGGAAAACUACCACAUUUCAGCAAAUCAAAAGAUAACCUCAAAUAUCUCCUUCACCUCCAUCCUUCAAUUGUUGCUUGAAGGAAUUGUACACCCAAAAGCACAUAUACACACACUAAUAUAAGUACCACUAAAUGCCAUGCAGUAUCAUCUAUGAGGGAAACACUGCCACUCAAAUACACAGAGUUGUAAAUAUUCUCAUUUAUAUUUUUGUCAUUUUAUAAACAUUUCUGAUAUUAGCAUCAAGAAAACAAAGGAACAAAAAUAACAGUUUCUAAAUAAAAUAAAAAAGUGUAAACUUAGAAUGUCUAUGAUUUAACAAAUAAAAAUUUUUCUCUUCCUCCCUCUCUCCUUCCUUCCCUCCCUUCCUCCCUCCUUCCUUCCUUUUCUUUCCCUCUUUCUCUUUCUUUCUUUUUCUUUCCCUUUCUUUCAUCUGUCUUGCAAAUACUCUUCUUAUCCCUGAUCUAUUCAUGUGUUCUCACCUGGGAAGAACAAAGCUUUACCUUUAUAUUACAACAGCUAAAAUAGUUCACAGGAAAUUAACUGAAGUUCCUUGGAAAUUUUUCAUGUUCAAAUACUUCAACUUUGUGUUCAGAUAUUCUAUUUACUGCCUUGGGCACUGUUAUUUACCCAUUCUGAAUUAGGUUGCUUCAUCUAUUUAAUGGGAAUAAAAUAACAAUACCUAGAGAUGGCAGUUGUGAAUCAUACAAGUUUUUGUAGAUCUUCUUAGUAUAAGAUUAAUAAUUCUGUUUUAAACACAUUAUCCAAAGUUGCAACAAAAAAUAUGACUAGAAUGCAUUCUCCAGUUGUAAAUUUGGCAAUCAACUCUGAAGGGUUGUGUUCAAAAAGAAAAUCCAUGAAUGUCAGUUAUGUAUGUAUGUUUGGAUAAUAGAGAUGAUGUAUAAAAUAUAUCUAAUGCAAACCAAGCAAACUUUUAAUUUUUAUGUCAGCACAAAUAACUCCCUAUUGUAAACAAGAGUUACCUUCUAUAGUCAGUAAACAAGAAAGGUUGACAUAUUUUUAAAUCUAAUAAAUAAAUAAAAUAUCUAAUGCAAUGUUAAGCAUAUAUUAGUUGGUCAAUAUUGUUUGUAAACUUGAAUUUAAAACUCUUCAUAGAAUCAUGUGUUCUAACAUCUUACUCUCUCAAGGAAUUCCUACUACAACCUCAGUGCAUUUAAGUACAUGUAUGUAGUGGGAAGCUCAUUUUCUUAAGACAGAGGCUGUUGCAUUAUUAGACAAUUCUAAUUGCUGAUACAUUCUAUCUUAAGUUGAAUUCAAAUAUAUGUUUCAAUAAUUUACACUCAUGAGAUCUAUUAAUUCCCUGUGGAGAAACAGACAACAUAUUUAUUUUCUCUACAAUAGUAGUCCUUUAAAUAUUUGAAGACAACAUCCAUCUCUCUAGCUAUUCCUUCACGUUUUACAAGAUUUUAAAAUACAUUACUUUUUUAUUUUUUAGUGUGUAGUCAAUUUUAAUUUUUGUUGUGAACAGAUAUAUAUUGCUACAGUGAUUUGUUAAGGGAAAAAAGAAGAAAAAUAAUAAUGUAAAGUGUGAAAAAAAAAAGUGCUGGUGUCCUCAUUAAAAUGUGAUUAAAUGUUUAAACUUCCAGUACAUUAACACUGACAUUUUGUCUUUUAAACAGUGUCAGGUAAUGAAGGUCAACACAAGCAAGCGUUCUGUUUCUGGCCCUUAGUUAGAAGCACACUGUACUUGGACUUCACAGCAGGGAACUGUCAGGCACGGUUCUCCUCUGUGCUGCUUCUCUCUAAGUACUAGCUUGCAGCUGGCUCCAGCACAUGGUAGUGUAUGGAGAUAUUUUCUGGGGUCCACUGCUUCAAUCACUAUUUAAUGAUUAAUUACUGCAGUCUGAUGCCAGGGUGAGACAUUCAAUGCUUCAGGUAAAAAUCUUAACUAUAGAAAAUGACAGCAGGCAGGGUUUUGAAAGCUGAGUUGACUUUGUAUUUCUUCUGAAGAAUUUACCCGAUUUUUCUAUCCACUUGUAAGGAGUGAGGUGAAAAAAGACAAAAUUGUCAAGUAGCAAACGCCAACCAACAAUGACAGGGGUGGUAUUCAGCAGAAUAGUCUAUGAUUGUCACUCACAAUGAGAAUAGUGCAGACAGAUAGACAAUAACUAACUCUCUACUGGAAACCAAGCAAACAACUUUCAAUUGACAUUCGGGAUAUAAUGGCUCUGAGCUGUGAAAAGAGUCUUCUGACAAUGUGCCUUGUAAGCAAAUAAGGGUGAGAUACGUUUUCUACCAAUGUAUGUUUUUGAACUCCCUGUACCCUGAAGUAUGAGGGGAACAUAUUCUUUAUGAUAUAUAAUAUUUAGUGGUAAAAUAAAUAGUUUGGUAAAAAGACUACCCUAAUAUUAAAGUAGUAUAAUUGUCUAUUUUUAUUUCUCAGUAAUUGCCUGUAACUUUGAACCAUUUAUAUUGAAAGAAAUUUUAGUUUAAAAAUAAUGCAGCAAUAUGACAGCUAAUACUGACAUGAAUCAUGCAAGUUGAAAGAGGAACUUUGUAUUCUGAUAAAUUUGGAUAAUUUAAAAUAAUCCAGUAAUUAUUAAAAUGUUCACUAAUUAAUCUUUUUUGUUCAUAAAUUUUAACUAUUUCUGGUUUUCUACAAAACCAGUAACAGCUUUCUUUUCAUAUAAUAUGUGUUUUUCUUCAGUAUAGUUACCUUGAAACAAGCUCAAAAUACUUUUAAGCAACAAGAAAUAUUUUUAAAAAUUGCCAAGUAACUAUUAUUCAAUGAUAUUGGACGUUAUCCUUUGCAUGUGGCUUGGUAAUGGAUAAAGAGAUAAUUAGAAUGUUUUAAGGAUAUAAAAGCAAUUUAUGCAGAUAGGAAUACAAUACCUAUUUGUUUAAUAGAUUCUAGAUCACCCAUCUAUAAA